rnacentral:rRNA from 1 species
ACCAUCAAGACUAGGUGGUUGAUAGGCUGGGUGUGUAAGCACAGCAAUGUGUUGAGCUAACCAGUACUAAUGAUCCGUGUGGCUUGACCAU